AUGCUUUCAUUUUCUAAUCAACAGGGCAGCGGUGAAGGAGUUGAGGUGGCUCCAGGGGAAGAUGUGGAGCGACCAUCACAAGCAGGCAGGAUAAGGGCAUCACCAGCGCGCUUUGCAAAUUUCAACGCCUCUCUAACCCCACUACAGAAAUCAGAGCUAGUUUCGAGGUCGGUCGGGGGGCGAUUGAAUUUAUUAGACACACUUCCAGCGGACCUCACUAAGUUCCUGGUGCAGUCCUACCAGCCACAGACCUCUGAAAUGGUUUUCCCAGGAAGGGGAAGGAUCCGUGUCAAUGCUGACAGUGUUCAGAGGGUAUUUGAUCUCCCAAACAAGGGUCCAAAAGUCAGAUAUUUAGUUGACAAGGAUGCCACUAGGAGAUUCAGACAGGCUUUCAACAUAACUGGAAAUUCUCAUCCCCAGAUCACUAGAUGGCUCAAGAUGAUUCAGGAUAUGGCUGGAAGAACGGAUGACACAUUCUUUAUGGCCUGGCUUGCGGUUGCCUUCAGCACUUUUCUAGCACCAACCACGGCCUUGAAGCUCAGCCCAAAGUGUUAUGGACUUGUGCUAGAUCAUCAAAUGCUAAAGAAUACAAACAUCUGCCUCUUUGUAGCAGAACACAUUAACGAAGCUUUCCGGAACAUGGACCAGGAGAAGCAAACUGUCUGCUGCUGCUUGUAUCACUUGAUGGUUAGUGAAAACGACCACUUUUUUCCAUCUGUUCCUGUUCUUUCUGUGCAGUUAUAG
rnacentral:rRNA from 1 species